CCUACGGGAGGCUGCAGUGGGGGAUAUUGCACAAUGGGGGGAACCCUGAUGCAGCGACGCCGCGUGGGUGAAGAAGCGCCUCGGUGCGUAAAGCCCUGUCAGCAGGGAAGAAAAUGACGGUACCUGAAGAAGAAGCCCCGGCUAACUACGUGCCAGCAGCCGCGGUAAUACGUAGGGGGCAAGCGUUAUCCGGAUUUACGGGGUGUAAAGGGAGCGUAGACGGCAGUGCAAGCCAGGAGUGAAAGCCCGGGGCCCAACCCCGGGACUGCUCUUGGAACUGCGUGGCUGGAGUGCAGGAGGGGUAGGCGGAAUUCCUGGUGUAGCGGUGAAAUGCGUAGAUAUCAGGAGGAACACCGGUGGCGAAGGCGGCCUACUGGACUGCAACUGACGUUGAGGCCCGAAAGCGUGGGGAGCAAACAGGAUUAGAUACCCUAGUAGUC
rnacentral:rRNA from 1 species